GCACGUAACCACUCCACUAUCUAAGCAUGCA
rnacentral:piRNA from 1 species